GACGAACGCUGGCGGCGUGCUUAACACAUGCAAGUCGAACGGUAAGGCCCUUCGGGGUACACGAGUGGCGAACGGGUGAGUAACACGUGGGUGAUCUGCCCUGCACUUCGGGAUAAGCCUGGGUAACUGGUCUAAUACCGGAUAGGACCACUGCCUGCAUGGGUGGUGGUGGAAAGCUUUUGCGGUGUGGGGUGGGGCCGCGGCCUGUCAGCUUGUUGGUGGGGUGAUGGCCUACCAAGGCGACGACGGGUGGUAGGCCUGAGAGGGUGACCGGCCACAGUGGGACUGAGAUACGGCCCAGACUGCUUCUGGAGGCAGCAGUGAGGAAUAUUUCACAAUGGGCGCAAGGCUGAUGCAGCGACGCCGCGUUAGGGAUGACGGCCUUCGGGUUGUAAACCUCUUUCGGCACCGACGAAGCGCAAGUGACGGUAGGUGCAGAAGAAGGACCGGCCAACUACGUGCCAGCAGCCGCCGUAA
rnacentral:rRNA from 1 species